CCUACGGGUGGCAGCAGUGAGGAAUAUUGGUCAAUGGACGAGAGUCUGAACCAGCCAAGUAGCGUGAAGGAUGACUGCCCUAUGGGUUGUAAACUUCUUUUAUAUGGGAAUAAAAUGUUCCACGUGUGGGAUUUUGUAUGUACCAUAUGAAUAAGGAUAGGCUAACGCCGUGCCAGAAGCCGCGGUAAUACGGAGGAUCCGAGCGUUAUCCGGUUUUAUUGGGUUUAAAGGGAGCGUAGGUGGAUUGUUAAGUCAGUUGUGAAAGUUUGCGGCUCAACCGUAAAAUUGCAGUUGAAACUGGAAGUCUUGAGUACAGUAGAGGUGAGCGGAAUUCGUGGUGUAGCGGUGAAAUGCUUAGAUAUCACGAGGAACACCGGUGGCGAAGGCAGCUCACUGGACUGCAACUGACACUGAGGCUCGAAAGUGUGGGUAUCAAACAGGAUUAGAUACCCGUGUAGUC
rnacentral:rRNA from 1 species